rnacentral:rRNA from 1 species
AUUGAACGCUGGCGGCAGGCCUACCCAUGCAAGUCGAGCGGUAGAGAGAAGCUUGCUUCUCUUGAGAGCCGCGGACGGGUGAGUAAUGCCUAGAAUCUGCCUGGUAGUGGGGGAUAACGUUCGGAAACGGACGCUAAUACCGCAUACGUCCUACGGGAGAAAGCAGGGGACCUUCGGGCCUUGCGCUAUCAGAUGAGCCUAGGUCGGAUUAGCUAGUUGGUGGGGUAAUGGCUCACCAAGGCGACGAUCCGUAACUGGUCUGAGAGGAUGAUCAGUCACACUGGAACUGAGACACGGUCCAGACUCCCUACGGGAGGCAGCAGUGGGGAAUAUUGGACAAUGGGCGAAAGCCUGAUCCCAGCCAUGCCGCGUGUGUGAAGAAGGUCUUCGGAUUGUAAAGCACUUUAAGUUGGGAGGAAGGGUUGUAGAUUAAUACUCUGCAAUUUUGACGUUACCGACAGAAUAAGCACCGGCUAACUCUGUGCCAGCAGCCGCGGUAAUACAGAGGGUGCAAGCGUUAAUCGGAAUUACUGGGCGUAAAGCGCGCGUAGGUGGUUUGUUAAGUUGGAUGUGAAAUCCCCGGGCUCAACCUGGGAACUGCAUUCAAAACUGACUGACUAGAGUAUGGUAGAGGGUGGUGGAAUUUCCUGUGUAGCGGUGAAAUGCGUAGAUAUAGGAAGGAACACCAGUGGCGAAGGCGACCACCUGGACUAAUACUGACACUGAGGUGCGAAAGCGUGGGGAGCAAACAGG